rnacentral:rRNA from 1 species
GAUGAACGCUGGCGGCGUGCCUAAUACAUGCAAGUCGAGCGAACGGACGAGAAGCUUGCUUCUCUGAUGUUAGCGGCGGACGGGUGAGUAACACGUGGAUAACCUACCUAUAAGACUGGGAUAACUUCGGGAAACCGGAGCUAAUACCGGAUAAUAUUUUGAACCGCAUGGUUCAAAAGUGAAAGACGGUCUUGCUGUCACUUAUAGAUGGAUCCGCGCUGCAUUAGCUAGUUGGUAAGGUAACGGCUUACCAAGGCAACGAUGCAUAGCCGACCUGAGAGGGUGAUCGGCCACACUGGAACUGAGACACGGUCCAGACUCCUACGGGAGGCAGCAGUAGGGAAUCUUCCGCAAAGGGCGAAAGCCUGACGGAGCAACGCCGCGUGAGUGAUGAAGGUCUUCGGAUCGUAAAACUCUGUUAUCAGGGAAGAACAUAUGUGUAAGUAACUGUGCACAUCUUGACGGUACCUAAUCAGAAAGCCACGGCUAACUACGUG